UACGUAGGUGGCAAGCGUUGUCCGGAAUUAUUGGGCGUAAAGCGAACGUAGGCGGUUUCUUAAGUCUGGUCUUAAAGACCGGGGCUCAACCCCGGGAAUGGAUUGGAUACUGGGAGACUAGAGGAUGUCAGAGGAAAGUGGAAUUCCAAGUGUAGCGGUGAAAUGCGUAGAUAUUUGGAGGAACACCAGUGGCGAAAGCGGCUUUCUGGGACAUUCCUGACGCUGAGGUUCGAAAGCUCGGGGAGCAAACAGG
rnacentral:rRNA from 1 species